rnacentral:rRNA from 1 species
CAAUAGCGUAUAUUAAAGUUGUUGCAGUUAAAAAGCUCGUAGUUGGAUUUCUGGUGGGAGCGAUCGGUCUGGCGCUUAGCGCGAGUACUUGCAUCGUCUCCGGCCAUCCUUGGGGAGAGUCUGUCUGGCAUUAGGUUGUCGGGCAGAGGAUCCUCAUCGUUUACUGUGAAAAAAUUAGAGUGUUCAAAGCAGGCUUAUGCCGUUGAAUAUAUUAGCAUGGAAUAAUAAGAUAGGACUUUGGUACUAUUUUGUUGGUUUGCGCACCAAAGUAAUGAUUAAUAGGGACAGUUGGGGGUAUUCGUAUUCCGUUGUCAGAGGUGAAAUUCUUGGAUUUACGGAAGACGAACUACUGCGAAAGCAUUUACCAAGGAUGUUUUCAUUAU